CAGUAGCCGCGGUAAUACGUAGGGUGCGAGCGUUAAUCGGAAUUACUGGGCGUAAAGCGUGCGCAGGCGGUUCGUUAAGACAGAUGUGAAAUCCCCGGGCUUAACCUGGGAACUGCAUUUGUGACUGACGGGCUAGAGUAUGGCAGAGGGGGGUAGAAUUCCACGUGUAGCAGUGAAAUGCGUAAAGAUGUGGAGGAAUACCGAUGGCGAAGGCAGCCCCCUGGGCCAAUACUGACGCUCAUGCACGAAAGCGUGGGGAGCAAACAGGAUUAGAUACCCCCGUAGUCCCUGUCUCUUAUAC
rnacentral:rRNA from 1 species